UACAGAGGUCCCAAGCGUUGUUCGGAUUCACUGGGCGUAAAGGGUGCGUAGGCGGUCGGGUAAGUCUGAUGUGAAAUCUCCAAGCCUAACUUGGAAACUGCAUUGGAUACUAUCCGGCUCGAGGAAUGGAGGGGAGACUGGAAUACUUGGUGUAGCAGUGAAAUGCGUAGAUAUCAAGUGGAACACCAGUGGCGAAGGCGGCUCUCUGGAACGCAACUGACGCUGAGACGCGAAAGCGUGGGGAGCAAACAGG
rnacentral:rRNA from 1 species